GCUUGCAACACAGACACGUGUGUCCCUCCUGAAGCUGCAUGCUCCAUUGGAGAAGACAGCCUUCCCGAGAAGAGACAGACCGGUCUUCGCUCCAGGGCAUACGAGUAGCUGCGCUCCCCUGCUAGAACCUCCAAACAAGCUCUCAAGAAAUGUGCCAUAACCCCUACAGAAUCCCUUCAGCCUGGGGGUAUUUUCUUUUAAAAUGCUGCAAGUGAAAAUAGUUCCGCUCCAGUAUUU
rnacentral:snRNA from 1 species